GUUUAGCUGGCUCAGUUGGUAGAGCAUGCAACUCUUGAUCUCAAGGUUGUGAGUUUGAGCCUCACGUUGGGUA
rnacentral:tRNA from 1 species